CUUCUGCUGCAGAGAAGUGAAAGGCAGAGAGGGAAGAAUACAGAAAGGAAGAAAAUGAAAAAGGGAUGUUUCAAAGAUGAUGGGAAGUACACAAUUGUUUUUUGACAAUGGUGAAAAUUCCCUUUCAUGGCACAGAGAAUUGCACAUUGUCUGUGUAAGGAACAAGACAGAAGAAACAGGAGACCUGACUAACAUACAUUCAUUUAUCACGGCCAUAGUGAUGCCUAAGGACAAAUGAAAAACCAGCAAGCAUGUAUGAUAUGAUGCUUCACAAGCAUGAAAGUGAUUUGCUUUCACUGCUUCGGGGUUGCUCUACUCAUGGCACAUCAGCUCUUCUGAACCUUAUAUCACAGAACGACAGAAAGUUCAGAUAUCCAGAGAUUACUCCUGCUGUUGGCCUGGUACCCGGACAGAGUUUAUCAAGGUUUGAAGCAAAUGGAUGCCCGUCUUGCAGGAGGUUACACCACCAGGUCCACUUGUCCCCCACACACAACCCUUGAUGUAAGUUUGGAGAGGAGGUGU